rnacentral:tRNA from 1 species
GAGAGGUGACCGAGUGGUUGAAGGUACCGGUCUUGAAAACCGGCGUGGGCUAAUAACUCACCGUGGGUUCGAAUCCCACCCUCUCC